rnacentral:rRNA from 1 species
AGUGAACGCUGGCGGUAGGCCUAACACAUGCAAGUCGAACGGCAGCACAGUAAGAGCUUGCUCUUACGGGUGGCGAGUGGCGGACGGGUGAGGAAUACAUCGGAAUCUACCUUUUCGUGGGGGAUAACGUAGGGAAACUUACGGUAAUACCGCAUACGACCUACGGGUGAAAGCAGGGGAUCUUCGGACCUUGCGCGAUUGAAUGAGCCGAUGUCGGAUUAGCUAGUUGGCGGGGUAAAGGCCCACCAAGGCGACGAUCCGUAGCUGGUCUGAGAGGAUGAUCAGCCACACUGGAACUGAGACACGGUCCAGACUCCUACGGGAGGCAGCAGUGGGGAAUAUUGGACAAUGGGCGCAAGCCUGAUCCAGCCAUACCGCGUGGGUGAAGAAGGCCUUCGGGUUGUAAAGCCCUUUUGUUGGGAAAGAAAAGCAGCAGGUUAAUACCCCGCUGUUCUGACGGUACCCAAAGAAUAAGCACCGGCUAACUUCGUG